CGUUACAAUUUUUAUUCCCUCCACACUCGACAAACUAAACUAUAAAAUGCAAUCCCAAAGAGGAAAUAAGCAUAAGGUGUAGAAAAUUUUCUGAUAUCUUGUGUGCAAAGAUGGCAUCACUCAAGCCUGAGAAACCUGGUUGUCAAUCUGGCAAGAAAGAGCCUGCCAAAGCUCCUGUCCCUAAACAGGCCCCUCCGAAGGAAGAACAAAAGCCUCGUGAGCCUAAGAAGAAGGCAACAGGUACCAGGUCAUCUGCAAAGAAAUAGGACGAACAAGGAAGAGUAAUGUUUGAGUAGAACUGUUUAACAGCCCAUUUGUGGCUGUCUUUACUUCUAUAUGUUGUGAAAGCAGUAACUGUCUUUACUUUUAUAUUUUAGACCUAUGAAACCCUUGUUCUAUGGCUUUGCUUGCCCAAUAAAAUGAUUCCUAUUUAAAGCUCAA